rnacentral:misc_RNA from 1 species
UUAAGUUCAGCGGGUAAUCUUACCUGAUUUGAGAUCAAAGUCACAGUCGAUCAGUAACUACUGACCACUGUAUGGUUUGGUAAGCCAGCUACGAUUAACCACUAGGUAUACGAUCAGUUACCCUAACAGGAUUAGGCACAAGGCCAUCAACUCUGCAAGAUAACAGCGAUCCUAGGGACGCUGGUACUGCUAUUUAAAGU